GGGAUACAGCUCAGUUGGUAGAGUGCUUGCCUUGUAUGCAUGAGGCCCUGGGUUCAAUCCCCAGUACCACCA
rnacentral:tRNA from 1 species